rnacentral:rRNA from 16 species
AAAUUUUGAAGUUGUGGAUGUUAAUUAGCAGAAUAAGAGGAGGUAACAAAUAUCUCAGCAUUCGCGGAGAACGAAGUACUAGUACAAAAUCUCAUAAU